AACAAACGAAACCCUAUUCUACGCGCGCAGCCGCCGUCACUUCUCCCACCCCCUUCCUCAGCCAUGGCGGGUGCCGCCGCCACUGCCCACUGCUCACUCAGCCGUCCGCCCAGCCCUAUCUCUUGAACGCACCUCAUCUUCUCCAUCCCCUCCCCAUCUUCCUCUAGCGCCAGCCACCAGGGAGGUUCGAGCUCGCCCCCUCCGUGCCCUCCCUGCUCGCUGCCCUCCAGCUCGCCAGUCAUGCUCAGCUCUGCUCCAUCUUCCUGCGCCGCCCAAGUCCAGUCAGGAACUUCCUUGUGUCAAUCUGCCACUACCCAUUGCUACCAGUGCUGUUUUUAUUACCAUGCUGGUCACUGCUUCCAUGUCUUCACAGGCCUUCUUAAGCUCGUCGAGUUCUGAUCUGAGCAUGCCGUUGACGACGGUCAGAUUGCUUUCUUCUCUCCCUUUUCAGUUCUCGCUCAUCCUGCCAGAAGACAGCACAUGACAAAGAUGCUGAGAGGACAUGCUAUAUAUUUACAGGAGUUGGAGAUGCAAAUGCUUUUUGUUAGUGACGAUUGCCACUGUAAAUUCCCUUAUGUAAAAGAUAGCCAUACCAUCAUCGACAAAGUGCUGCCAUGAUGGGAAUGCGUCGCAGCAUUUAUUUCACCCUGUCCAGAGAUGAGGAAGACAGGAGUAACAUUCCUACAGUUACUAUUCAGAUAUUGAUCGAACCAUGAGAUUCUUACCCCCAGGUAGAGUUUUUUUAGAAAGAGGAUAUGUGCUGGCAUGGGUGUACAAAUCAAUGGAAGCUAACUAGCUAGAAAUUCAUUUUGAGAAAGGAAGUUGGAGUGUGCUUUGAAGUUGUGCGCAAGGUUUGGCGUGUAAAUGAUAAAGACAAGGUUCAACUCUCACCCUCUGACCAAUCCAAAUUUUACACUGGCGAUUGCUACAUAUUUCAGUAUACUUAUCCUGGAGAUGAUAAGGAGGAAUGUCUUAUUGGAACCUGGUUUGGGAAAAAGAGUAUUGAGGAGGAUAGGCUAAUAGCAGUUUCACUUGCAAGCAAGAUGGUUGAAUCUGCUAAGUUUCAGGCUGUCCAGGCGCGCUUUUAUGAGGGGAAAGAACCGAUUCAAUUCUUUGUGAUUAUCAAUCAGUGCGGAAGUGAUGUCGUUGUGGUGCUUUUGAACCUAUUAUUAGAAUGCAUGAGUCAAACUCGCCUUCAGUCUAGUGGCGUUGUACUCCCAUUUCAACAAACUGUAAAUGAUCUAGUUGUGAAUGAUAUUAUAAUUGUGAUGCUUUUGUGAAUAUAUAAUUGUGGUGCUUUUGUGUUUAUGUGAUGGAUCUAUGACUGUG
rnacentral:misc_RNA from 1 species